rnacentral:lncRNA from 1 species
CAGGCAUCCUCCGCGGCGGGCCGGACCGGGCCGGCGGAGGGGAGCGGAAGCCCACCGGGGCUGGCCCGCCGCUGACCCGCCGCCUCCGUCUGCCUCCUCCCGGGCUCUGGGCCCAGCGCGCCCAGAUGCCGGGCAGGACCCCUCCGCCCGCUGCUGGAACACCAAUAGCAGCGUUGGAGCCUCUGGGCCGGAGGAACUGGGGCCUCCACCGACACCUGCUUCUUCCCUCACCUCGCAGCCUUCCACACCUGUUGAUCUGACCUCUGCCCCGCUGCCGCCCAGGAGUAACCUAAGGCUUUUGGCCUGAUUCGAGCUCACUCCGUCUAAACCUCUAAAUGCGGUGCGAAAAAAUCCUGGGGAAUGUGCCAUGCAAAGCCUGGGCAUUUCAAGUGCUUUUCUGGAUUCGCAUCAACUCCUCUUUACAGGCAUCUUUAUCCGGAAUUCAGCUCGUCCCAAACCCCACGUGGUGUAGCUCUGCUUGUGUUUUUGAAUCCCGGGGCCUCUUUGAAUCAGAAGCCCUUUGUAUAGAGAUAAGUAUCCUUUAGGCCAGAAUCAGCCUCCAUUUUUUUCGCAGUCCCAUUUCCUACCCGUAAUACUUUCUUCUGAUUUUAAAGCCAUUUGAUAGAGAAGGGACAGGGAACAGAACCUUCGCCCCCCGCCUGAGCAGCUGGUAGACUAGAUAUCUUCCAAACAUUAUCUCAUUUACUUCCCUGGAGUUACAAAUAGGUAGAUUUCAUGUCCGUUGAGGGGUGAGAAAGCUGAAACUUUGAGACUUAAGAAUCCUGGCCGAGGUCAGCCUCCUCCGAAGCUUCAUCUCUUGCCACCACUUUCUGGUGCACACCUAGGACAGAUUUCAAUCCCUGAGAUCCCAGGAUGAAACCUAUGUUUGCCAAAUACCAGCUACUGUGCCAGAAGAGAUCAUGGAACCAGGUGUGGAAAGCUGCUUGAGAAGAGGAGCCAAAACAUCAUAGUUGAACCGUCCUGGAAUAGAAACUCGCCCUGAAUUCUUUCUUGUGUGAAAUCCAAGAGCCCUCUCUUGGGGUUGGAUCGGGACCCUGUUCCUGUAACAAGUCCACAAUGCCAGAGAAUUAAAGAGAACCACAAAGCAAGACCAACUCCCCUUCUUCCACCUUCCCAACCUACUCAAUGUGAAGAUGAUGAAGAUGAAGACCUUUGUCAUGAUCCACAUCCACUUAAUAAAUGUUUCUGCCAUUUCAGUUCCUGUUAUCGUGCUUUGAGGUGCACUGAACUGCAGCAAACCCAGGGGAUCCAAGGCUACGUUGAAAAGCCUUUGACCACAGUGCAGGGAGCAGAAGACAUUAAUGACGUGAUGUCGACACAGCCCGCACUCAGGAUCCUCCAGGAAAAGAACACAGAGAUAACCCCGGAUCGAUGGUACUUUUUGAAAAUGCUUUAUUGCAAAAGAGUGGCUAGGGUUUUACAAGGGCUAUGAAGAAACAUAUUAAGGUUAAUAAAGCUUUUUAUUGAGUGUUUACUGAGUGUUACUAUGUGCUUUACAUCUAUUAACUCAUUUCAUCUUCAAAACAACCCUAUAAAGAUGUUACAACUAUAAUCCUAACCUUACAAAUGAAACAACUGAGGCACAGUGAAGUGCAGUGGCCUGCCCAGGUAAAAAGCAAGACAGAAUUUGAACCCAGGCAGCCUGACCCCAGGGUCCAGGUAUUAAACCAUUCUGCUAUAGUGCCUCUAAGAUAACAGAGAAACUUGAUGAAUUACUGGGUUACUGAAUUUUAGUUUACAUAGGUUGUUUUUUUCCCCUUAAGAGUAGAACAAAACAUACCUGAAGUAUGGAAAAUAACAUUUAUU